rnacentral:RNase_P_RNA from 1 species
UCAGCGGGCCGGGCGAUCGCCCUUCGGGGAGGAAAGUCCGGACUCCACCGGGCAGAGGCGCCGGGUAACGCCCGGGCGGUGCAAGCCGACGGAAAGUGCAACAGAACAUACCGCCCGCCUUUGCGGGUAAGGGUGAAAUGGUGCGGUAAGAGCGCACCGGCGUCCUGGUAACGGGGCGGCCGUGAAAACCCCGCCUGGAGCAAGGCCAAAUAGGGGAGAAGGGCGCCCGGCCCGUCAUCACUCCCGGGUUGGCCGCAAGAGCGUCACGGCAACGUGGCGCCCAGAGAGAUGGUCGCCGCUCCCGCGCUGCGGGAGGCACAGAAUCCGGCUUACAGGCCCGCUGAGCCA